ensembl:snRNA U1 U1 spliceosomal RNA
AUACUUGUCUAGUAGAGAAAAUACCAUAAUCGCGAAAGUGGUUUUAUUUUUUUCAGAGAAAAGCUUAUCCCUCAUUUUCGGGAUAUGCUGAUUCUUGCGAUUUCCCCCAAUGGGGGGAAGUCGAUUACACAAUUUGCGGCAGUGGGGUGCUGAGUUCGCCUUGUUUUCUA